CCUACGGGGGGCAGCAGUGGGGAAUAUUGCACAAUGGGGGAAACCCUGAUGCAGCGACGCCGCGUGAGUGAAGAAGUAUUUCGGUAUGUAAAGCUCUAUCAGCAGGGAAGAAGAAAGACGGUACCUGACUAAGAAGCCCCGGUCAACUACGUGGCAGUAGCCGCGGUAAUACGUAGGGGGCAAGCGUUAUCCGGAUUUACUGGGUGUAAAGGGAGCGUAGACGGGUGUGCAAGUCUGAAGUGAAAGCCCGGGGCUCAACCCUGGGACUGCUUUGGAAACUGUGGGGCUAGAGUGCUGGAGAGGUAAGUGGAAUUCCUGGUGUAGCGGUGAAAUGCGUAGAUAUUAGGAAGAACACCAGUGGCGAAGGCGGCUUACUGGACAGUAACUGACGUUGAGGCUCGAAAGCGUGGGGAGCAAACAGGAUUAGAUACCCCGGUAGUC
rnacentral:rRNA from 1 species